AGCUUUGCACAGGGGCAGUAUUAUAGCCAAUGGGGUUUUAUCCUAGACAUGAGCACUGCUAAUUGAAAAUUUUCCUAAUAGGCCACUGUGACAACUUGCAAUAUAUUUGGCAUUGGCAAUUUUUGACAGUCUCUAUAGAGA
rnacentral:snRNA from 1 species